rnacentral:rRNA from 1 species
AAUAUUGCACAAUGGGGGAAACCCUGAUGCCGCAACGCCGCGUGAGCGAUGAAGGCCUUCGGGUCGUAAAGCUCUGUCCUAAGGGACGAUAAUGACGGUACCUUAGGAGGAAGCCCCGGCUAACUACGUGCCAGCAGCCGCGGUAAUACGUAGGGGGCAAGCGUUAUCCGGAAUCAUUGGGCGUAAAGGGUGCGUAGGCGGCCCUAUGGGUCAGAGGUUAAAGGCUACGGCUCGACCGUAGUAAGCCUUUGAAACUGUAGGGCUUGAGUGCAGGAGAGGAGAGUGGAAUUCCUAGGGUAGCGGUGAAAUGCGCAGAUAUUAGGAGGAACACCAGUGGCGAAGGCGACUCUCUGGACUGAAACUGACGCUGAGGCACGAAAGCGUGGGUAGCGAA